UACGUAGGGUGCGAGCGUUAAUCGGAAUUACUAGGCGUAAAGCGUGCGCAGGCGGUUUUGUAAGCCAGGUGUGAAAUCCCCGGGCUCAACCUGGGAAUGGCAUUUGGGACUGCAAGGCUGGAGUGCGGCAGAGGAGACUGGAAUUCCUGGUGUAGCAGUGAAAUGCGUAGAUAUCAGGAGGAAUACCGAUGGCGAAGGCAGGUCUCUGGGCUGACACUGACGCUCAUGCACGAAAGCGUGGGGAGCAAACAGG
rnacentral:rRNA from 1 species